AUGGUCUUCGGCGUAGAGCUUACCAUCCUGAAUGUGUGUUGCGCUCUGGUGACGUUGGUAAUUGGUGCAAUAGUUGGUCUAGGUAUUCUUUUGUAUCUAUUUGUCUACUUCACUACCGGCGUGUGUAAAAGCCAGAAGAGGAUGGAGGGAAAAACAGUGAUAGUGACCGGGUGCAUAUCAGGAAUUGGGAAAGAAACAGCUCGAGACUUAGCCAAAAGAGGCGCCCGGGUUAUUAUGGCAUGCCGCAAUGUCGAAGCUGCCAAUAAGUUGAAAGGGACUCUUCAAGAUGAUUCAUAAUACUUUUGGAGCAAUGAUCCAUAAGGAAAGCCUUUUACAGUAUUUCUUACUGCUUACAAUACGAUUCAAAUGUGACCAUAAUCUUGCAUAGGUUUAUUGUCUCACAUUGAGCAACAUUUAGUGUUAUUCAAUCACCUAACCUUCUUCAAACCAAGCGUUCUGCAUGCUUAUCAUUGAUGUAUUCAAUUUAUUAUUCAAUAUUAAGCAACAUCAAGAGUAAAUUCUAUCAACUUUAUAUUCAAUAUCUAGCCAGUGGGAUAGUAUCGAUUGGAAUAUUUACCCGAAUUUGAAUAUAUUUAGAAUAACACUAGGAUAAGUGAUGUAUCCAACAAUCAGAAGGAUUAAAAAUAAGCUGGUUAUAUUUACCUUUAAACCGUUGGAAAUUCAACCGUUUGAUCCUAGGAAGGGUUGAUGAGCAUGUUCGUGUCAAAGAAGGCAUAACUGGUUCUUUAAUAUCUUCAGUAGCAGCAGUUGUAAAGAAAUUUUUUGGCGGUGCUUCUAGACUUAUUUGAAAGCUUGAUGGUCGUUUGCGAGCUUUUUUCACGCCUUCACUUGGACUGUCACAAUUUUCUGUUAUGACUGAAAGAAGAAAAAAGAAAAAGUAAUACAAUUAGAUAAAAUAUCAGAAAAGGAGAGAAAAUAAACAUUAAAUAGAGCACUCAUUUCAUCAUCAUGUAAAAAAUAACUGAGUCAUUACAAACGAUCGUGAUUUAUCAUUGUUCAAGUAUUUAUGUUACAACAUAUCGAAUCAUUUACUAAACAAUUAAAAUUCGAGAACUGAUUUAAAAUUAUUUAAAGGAAAUGACUAAUUCAAAAGCACCUUUUGUUAAUGAAGAUUGUUGGUUUAAUUGUUUAUAAGAUACUGACCAGAAAUAUCUGCUGAUGGCUUUGGUGAAAGAAUCGUUGAUCUUGCGUGGUUCACAGCAGACUGAACGUCCGUGCGUCGAGCAUGUGAUAUCUUUGCACUCAUCUUUGUAUUUGGCGU